rnacentral:misc_RNA from 1 species
AACGCAAAUCGCGCUCGAGGCCUCGGCCGAGAGCAUGUCUGCCUCAGCGUCGUCUCAAACCCUCCCUCUUCCUUUCACUCGAAAGGACAGCAGGGGAUGUGGUCGUUCCAGUGCCUCGCCACUGGAUCGGUCGAAAUGCAGAAGGACCCUCCUUUCAACAAGGGUCACGAAAGGUAGGUUGCCCUCGGGCGAUUCCUAUCGUGGCUCGAAAGGCAGGCCGCCCUACAGCCGGAGAAACACACCUAGACUUUGACCUGAGUUCAGGCAAGAACACCCGCUGAACUUAA